GUAGCUGCUGGUGCUGUUGGAUUAGCGCAAAGAGCUUUGGAUGAAGCUACCAAGUAUGCCCUGGAAAGGAAAACUUUUGGAAAGCUACUUGUAGAGAUGGAGUCUUGCUCUGUUGCUCAGGCUGGAGUGCAGUGGCACAAUCUCAGUUCACCACAGCCUCCGCCUCCCGAGUUCAAGCAAUUCUCCUGCCUCAGCCUCCCAAGUAGUGGGAACUAUAGCACCAAGCGAUAUCAUUUAUGCUGGCUGAAAUGGCAAUGAAAGUUGAACUAGCUAGAAUGGGUUACCAGAGAGCAGCUUGGGAGGUUGAUUCUGGUCGUCGAAAUACCUAUUAUGCUUCUAUUGCAAAGGCAUUUGCUGGAGAUAUUGCAAAUCAGUUAGCUACUGAUGCUGUGCAGAUACUUGGAGGCAAUGGAUUUAAUACAGAAUAUCCUGUAGAAAAACUAAUGAGGGAUGCCAAGAUCUAUCAGCUACAAGAACUUUCUUGAAAAUCUUGUUUAAUUCUGAGCCCAUAUUUCACUUACCUUAUUUAAAAUAAUAAAGCUUGCCUUAAAUUAUUUUUAUAUGACUGUUGGUCUCUAGGUAGCCUUUGGUCUAUUGUACACAAUCUCAUUUCAUAUGUUUGCAUUUUGGCAAAGAACUUAAUAAAAUUGUUCAGUGCUUA
rnacentral:sRNA from 1 species